UACAGAGGGUGCAAGCGUUAAUCGGAAUUACUGGGCGUAAAGCGUGCGUAGACGGUUGCAUAAGUCAGAUGUGAAAGCCCCGGGCUCAACCUGGGAAUUGCAUUUGAGACUGUGUAGCUAGGGUGCGGAAGAGGGAAGCGGAAUUUCCGGUGUAGCGGUGAAAUGCGCAGAUAUCAGGAAGAACACCAAUGGCGAAGGCAGCUCUCUGGGACGGUACUGACGCUGAGACGCGAAAGCGUGGGGAGCGAACAGG
rnacentral:rRNA from 1 species